UACGUAGGUGGCGAGCGUUGUCCGGAUUUACUGGGCGUAAAGAGCGCGCAGGCGGUCGUGCAAGUCGCGUGUGAAAGCCCCCGGCUCAACUGGGGAGGGUCACGCGAUACUGCUCGACUCGAAGGCAGGAGAGGGAAGUGGAAUUGCCGGUGUAGUGGUGAAAUGCGUAGAGAUCGGCAGGAACACCCAGGGGAAACCAGUCGACUGGGCAGCACCGUGACGCUGAGGUGCGGAGAGCGUGGGGAG
rnacentral:rRNA from 1 species